rnacentral:rRNA from 1 species
AGAGUUUGAUCAUGGCUCAGAUUGAACGCUGGCGGCAUGCCUUACACAUGCAAGUCGAACGGUAACGCGGGGGCAACCCUGGCGACGAGUGGCGAACGGGUGAGUAAUACAUCGGAACAUAUCCAGUAGCGGGGGAUAACCUAUCGAAAGAUGGACUAAUACCGCAUACGAUCUACGGAUGAAAGCAGGGGACCGCAAGGCCUUGCACUAUUGGAGUGGCCGAUGUCGGAUUAGCUAGUUGGUGGGGUAAAGGCUUACCGAGGCGACGAUCCGUAGCUGGUCUGAGAGGACGAUCAGCCACACUGGAACUGAGACACGGUCCAGACUCCUACGGGAGGCAGCAGUGGGGAAUUUUGGACAAUGGGCGCAAGCCUGAUCCAGCCAUGCCGCGUGAGUGAAGAAGGCCUUCGGGUUGUAAAGCUCUUUCGGUGAAGACGAAACGGUUAGCGCUAAUAACGCUGACUAAUGACGGUACUCACAGAAGAAGCACCGGCUAACUACGUGCCAGCAGCCGCGGUAAUACGUAGGGUGCAGGCGUUAAUCGGAAUUACUGGGCGUAAAGCGUGCGCAGGCGGUUUGCUAAGACAGGUGUGAAAUCCCCGGGCUUAACCUGGGAAUUGCGCUUGUAACUGGCAAGCUAGAGUGUGGCAGAGGGGGGUGGAAUUCCACGUGUAGCAGUGAAAUGCGUAGAUAUGUGGAGGAACACCGAUGGCGAAGGCAGCCCCCUGGGUUAACACUGACGCUCAUGCACGAAAGCGUGGGGAGCAAACAGGAUUAGAUACCCUGGUAGUCCACGCCCUAAACUAUGUCAACUAGUUGUCGGGGAAGAAAUUCCUUGGUAACGAAGCUAACGCGUGAAGUUGACCGCCUGGGGAGUACGGCCGCAAGGUUAAAACUCAAAGGAAUUGACGGGGACCCGCACAAGCGGUGGAUUAUGUGGAUUAAUUCGAUGCAACGCAAAAACCUUACCUACCCUUGACAUGCUAGGAAGCCCGCAGAGAUGUGGGUGUGCCCGAAAGGGAACCUAGACACAGGUGCUGCAUGGCUGUCGUCAGCUCGUGUCGUGAGAUGUUGGGUUAAGUCCCGCAACGAGCGCAACCCUUGCCAUUAGUUGCUACAUUCAGUUGGGCACUCUAAUGGGACCGCCGGUGACAAACCGGAGGAAGGUGGGGAUGACGUCAAGUCCUCAUGGCCCUUAUGGGUAGGGCUUCACACGUAAUACAAUGGUCGGUACAGAGGGCUGCCAACCCGCAAGGGGGAGCUAAUCCCAGAAAGCCGAUCGUAGUCCGGAUUGUAGUCUGCAACUCGACUGCAUGAAGCCGGAAUCGCUAGUAAUCGCGGAUCAGCAUGUCGCGGUGAAUACGUUCCCGGGUCUUGUACACACCGCCCGUCACACCAUGGGAGUGGGUUCCACCAGAAGUAGUUAGCCUAACCGCAAGGAGGGCGAUUACCACGGUGAGAUUCAUGACUGGGGUGAAGUCGUAACAAGGUA